rnacentral:rRNA from 1 species
GACGAACGCUGGCGGCGUGCUUAACACAUGCAAGUCGAACGGAGUUUCUUGGAUCAAGACUUCGGUCAAGUGAAUUGAAACUUAGUGGCGGACUGGUGAGUAACGCGUGAGGAACCUGCCUUUCAGAGGGGGACAACAGUUGGAAACGACUGCUAAUACCGCAUAACAUAUCGAAAUCGCAUGAUUUUGAUAUCAAAGGAGCAAUCCGCUGAAAGAUGAGCUCGCGUCUGAUUAGAUAGUUGGUGAGGUAACGGCUCACCAAGUCGACGAUCAGUAGCCGGACUGAGAGGUUGAACGGCCACAUUGGGACUGAGACACGGCCCAGACUCCUACGGGAGGCAGCAGUGGGGAAUAUUGCACAAUGGGCGCAAGCCUGAUGCAGCGAUGCCGCGUUGAGGGGAAGAAGGUUUUUCGGAUUGUAAACCUCUGUUCAUCGGGGACGAUAAUGACGGUACCCGAG